AGGAGACUAUGAGCAGGCCAUCUGGAAUCCACCGAGCAGGCCAUCUGGAAUCAGGAGACCAUGAGCAGGCCAUCUGGAAUCACGAGACCAUGAGCAGGCCAUCUGGAAUCAGGAGACUAUGAGCAGGCCAUCUGGAAUCAGGAGACCAUGAGCAGGCCAUCUGGAAUCAGGAGACCAUGAGCAGGCCAUCUGGAAUCAGGAGACUAUGAGCAGGCCUUCUGGAAUCAGGAGACCAUGAGCAGGCCUUCUGGAAUCAGGAGACCAUGAGCAGGCCUUCUGGAAUCAGGAGACCAUGAGCAGGCCAUCUGGAAUCAGGAGACCGUGAGCAGGCCAUCUGGAAUCAGGAGACCAUGAGCAGGCCUUCUGGAAUCAGGAGACCACCGAGCAGGCCUUCUGGAAUCAGGAGACCACCGAGCAGGCCUUCUGUAAUCAGGAGACCACCGAGCAGGCCAUCUGGAAUCAGGAGACUAUGAGCAGGCCAUCUGGAAUCAGGAGACUAUGAGCAGGCCAUCUGGAAUCAGGAGACCAUGAGCAGGCCAUCUGGAAUCAGGAGACCGUGAGCAGGCCAUCUGGAAUCAGGAGACCAUGAGCAGGCCAUCUGGAAUCAGGAGACCGUGGGCAGGCCAUCUGGAAUCAGGAGACCAUGGGCAGGCCAUCUGGAAUCAGGAGACUAUGAGCAGGCCAUCUGGAAUCAGGAGACCGUGAGCAGGCCAUCUGGAAUCAGGAGACCGUGGGCAGGCCAUCUGGAAUCAGGAGACCAUGGGCAGGCCAUCUGGAAUCAGGAGACUAUGAGCAGGCCAUCUGGAAUCAGGAGACCGUGAGCAGGCCAUCUGGAAUCAGGAGACCGUGAGCAGGCCAUCUGGAAUCCACCGAGAAGGACAUCUGGAAUCAGGAGACCAUGAGCAGGCCAUCUGGAAUCAGGAGACCGUGAGCAGGCCAUCUGGAAUCAGGAGACCAUGAGCAGGCCUUCUGGAAUCAGGAGACCACCGAGCAGGCCUUCUGUAAUCAGGAGACCACCGAGCAGGCCAUCUGGAAUCAGGAGACCACCGAGCAGGCCAUCUGGAAUCAGGAGACUAUGAGCAGGCCAUCUGGAAUCAGGAGACUAUGAGCAGGCCAUCUGGAAUCAGGAGACUAUGAGCAGGCCAUCUGGAAUCAGGAGACCGUGAGCAGGCCAUCUGGAAUCAGGAGACCAUGAGCAGGCCAUCUGGAAUCAGGAGACCGUGGGCAGGCCAUCUGGAAUCAGGAGACCAUGGGCAGGCCAUCUGGAAUCAGGAGACUAUGAGCAGGCCAUCUGGAAUCAGGAGACCGUGAGCAGGCCAUCUGGAAUCAGGAGACCGUGAGCAGGCCAUCUGGAAUCCACCGAGAAGGACAUCUGGAAUCAGGAGACCAUGAGCAGGCCAUCUGGAAUCAGGAGACCGUGAGCAGGCCAUCUGGAAUCAGG
ensembl:lncRNA